GAUGAACGCUAGCGGCAGGCUUAAUACAUGCAAGUCGAGGGGCAGCACGGUUAGCAAUAACUGGUGGCGACCGGCGCACGGGUGCGUAACACGUAUACAAUCUACCUUAAACAGGGGGAUAGCCUUUCGAAAGAGAGAUUAAUACCCCGUAAUAAAUUGAACGGCAUCGUUUGAUUUUGAAAGCUCCGGCGGUUUGAGAUGAGUAUGCGUCUGAUUAGCUAGUUGGUGAGGUAACGGCUCACCAAGGCGACGAUCAGUAGGGGAUCUGAGAGGACUAACCCCCACACUGGUACUGAGACACGGACCAGACUCCUACGGGAGGCAGCAGUAAGGAAUAUUGGUCAAUGGAGGCAACUCUGAACCAGCCAUGCCGCGUGCAGGAUGACGGCCCUAUGGGUUGUAAACUGCUUUUAUACAAGAGAAAACCCUGGUACGUGUACCAGGUUGAUAGUAUUGUAAGAAUAAGCAUCGGCUAACUUCGUGCCAGCAGCCGC
rnacentral:rRNA from 1 species